GGCAUGAGGCUCCCCGAGAGCGGCAGCAGCAGCAGCUAUGCGGGAGCACCGGUGGCACAUCCCCCGCAGACAGAGGCCCCGCUACCCGGCCGCCGAGACGCGGGGCGCCGCUCCCUCUUCCAGCAGGGACAGGUCCUUUCAGUCACGCCUCAUGCUGCAGCGACCGACCGGGCGAGCAUCUUCCUCCGGGCUCGGAGAGGCGGAUCAAUCACCGAGAGCGGCAGCGGGGGAUGGGAGCGGCAGCGCCCCCCGCUCCCCUAUGCCGCAGGGGAACGUCUCAGGAUGGUCAUUCCAGCCAUCCCCAGGCAACUGAAUGAAGUCCUGUAAUGGUCCCUGCAGUACAGCCUGGAAAAAAAUCACCAAAGGAAAGGAGUCAUGCGGAUAUUCUUUACGGCCUGAAGAGAUGUAGCACAGAAGAGAGAGGUCCACUAGAGCAAACCUUAGUAAAAAGACAUUAAGCCUUUGGUUAUCAUGCUUGAUUCUUUUGGGUCUAUCCAGAGUGGACAAACGGGCCUGAAAGGGAGUACUUUUGGACAACAGUGUGCAAGUUUUGGAAGCAUCAACCCCUGAAGAACAAAGGAAGCAGCACUAGAUGGAGGGCAGGAGAAGAGAUCCUGACUAAAAGAGGUUCAGCCAGUAAGAUUGCUGGAACACUGGUGAGAGAGACCUUUGCUUUGUAUUCACUUAGCUUAAGUUGCACUUUACCUUUUAUUUCUUUGUAACCAAUUCUGACAUAGGCCUCA